GGUGGGUGUGGAGACCACGCUGGAGUGAAACCAGAUCACACGUGACCACGUGGGUCAUCUGUUCCAUCAGCUGCUGCAGGCUGGGAUCCUCUCCACAUCUCAGUUUUUUAAAGGGUUCUCAGAAACCCUCGAGAUAGCAGAUGAUAUGGCGAUUGACAUUCCUUAUGUAUGGCAGUACAUAGCGGAGCUCGUUAA